AUGAGAAAGCUCACAGUUCACCACCCGGUCCGUGCUCUCGUGUGGAUAGAAAGCUCAGGCCCGCGGGAGUGCGGCCCCCUGAAGCGUGGUUCCCAGAGGCCUGGAUCCAGUGCUGCGCCCCCAAAGCCUGUUCGCGUUGCUCUACUGCUUCAACAGGUCAAGCGUCUACAGGAAAAAAUUAAAAAGCAGAAAAGGAAAACCGUGCAAGCAAUGGAACACAUGCCAUCUGGUGGCGAGCUGGGGCAGCGCGGCGGCUCCUCCAGGAUAGUGCUCCCUGGGAGGGGGGGAGCCACAGCAGGGGGAGCCCCGUUUCCCAGGGCCCGCUUGCCACUGUGCUUGGCAGGUCAUCCUCAAGCAAACUGCCGGGCAUCACGGUCCUGCUGCAGCUGCCGUCACCAGCCUCGUGGCUCAGACCCGCUCCCCGAUUGCUCCCGGGCCCCGCAGAGCUGGCUCUGCCCCCCAAUCACCCGAGCGCCGUCUGCGCCCCUUGGCCCAUGCAGAGGGUGCAUUUCUCUUCUCUCUCUGAGAAGCCAUCUGACCCGACACGGGCCGCGGGCUCCAGGACCCCCGGACCCAGCAAGUCGUGUGCUCCCCGGCCGGAGCCCGCCGGGCUCCCUGGGCAGUGGGUCCCUGUGGGUCAGGCCUCGCAGUGUGGCCCGACCGGAGAGCCAGCAUCACCUUCCUGUUAAGUCCGAGAGGAAGGGAGGCACGGGGGUAGGGGCUCACGCGGGAUCGGGGCGAGAGAAAGGGUCUCAGGCCGUGCAGGUGUCCUACCUGUGGUGCUACACGCGCCCGGGUUUUUGUUUAGACCUUGCCGACGCAUGUCGUCUGUGUCACCGUGGAGGGUGGGGACCGCAGAGAACCGAGAGGCUUCAGCGAGACUCCGCUGCACGCGCUGGAGCCAGAAGGUGCGGGGAAGGGCCUUCGGCAGAAGAGCUUCCAGAACUCCCAGUGGCAGGACGCCGGGCCUUGGCGGCAGGACCAAGACUAGUCCUCGCACGGCCGCCUGAUGACACUGGGGCUUAG
rnacentral:lncRNA from 1 species